UGUAAGAGCCGCGGAGGGAGCGAGCGAGCCGGCUAGAGGCCAGCGC
rnacentral:miRNA from 1 species